rnacentral:rRNA from 1 species
UACAGAGGUCCCAAGCGUUGUUCGGAUUCAUUGGGCGUAAAGGGUGCGUAGGCGGCGCGGUAAGUCGGGUGUGAAAUCUCGGGGCUUAACUCCGAAACUGCAUUUGAUACUGCCGUGCUUGAGGACUGGAGAGGAGACUGGAAUUUACGGUGUAGCGGUGAAAUGCGUAGAUAUCGUAAGGAAGACCAGUGGCGAAGGCGGGUCUCUGGACAGUUCCUGACGCUGAGGCACGAAGGUCAGGGGAGCAAACGGG